AAUGAGCACCAAGUGAUUCCCUCCCUGUUGUGUAUGCCUUGAAACCACACCCACAAGAAUGCCACUCUUCUGUUUGCUUUGACUACCUGGUUGGUUUCUAAAGCAUGUAUCCCAGUCUCUUCAUAUAUUUAUCAAGUUUACCCUUAAAUGCUGGUAUGAAUAAUGUCUUGGAGGAGACUCUUAGGGACUAUGGAGAUCAUCUAACCAGUGAAGUAUUUGAGAAGCUACAUGAAUUCAUAUCUCUAGCAUUUUUGCGAGAAGGCCAACCUUUGCACACAUAUCUAUAAUACUAUGUGUAACACCAUGCUGAGAAGAUGAAGACAGGUAGAUCCCUGGAGCAUCCUGGCUAGACAGCUUUGCUCAGUGUAGGGGUUCAGAUUCAGUGAGAGACCCUAUGUCAAAAUUAAGUGGAAGAGAGAUUGAGGAAGACAAAUGACAUACAAUGUGAACAUAUACACCACGCAUAUACACACACUCACACAUAAGCCCUUACCUACUGUCUCUUGGAGACACAUUUAGUUCCUCAACCUAUAAGACAAGAAGAUUUCUGUGUCCCUCAUCUGUAAAAGGCUAAAUCCCAUAUGCCUUCUACAGGUGAAGAUGAAAUAAAUUUGUCUGGCUUCCAUUUGACAAGUAUUUAUGCACAGUGUGAAGUUACCAAGUCACCUUGUCCCCUGUCUCCCGGCUUAGUAAACUCCAUUUUCUCUGUCCUUUUCAUUGUCCAUUUCCAUGGAUUUGCUAGGGUGUAUGUGUAGCCCGUCCAAUAGGGAGUAGACUUGUCAAGAAUAUGCACAUUUGCAGGGAGUGUGUGAGAAUAAAUGCUAUCCCUUAAGAUGAACCUAACUGAACAUCCAGCAUAUACCUGAUGGUCCUCUUUUUCUAUAUCCUUGUUAUGAUGACUGCAGCCAGAAGUGACAUGUGACCCACCAGAGUGAUAUUUCUGGUCAAACUCUAGUAACCAUUUGGUAAGAUUGAUUCAUUUCCUGACAGGUUGCAUUUUUCUCAGAGAGAUGAAAGGCUUUGCUCAAGAUGGAUUUCUGACAGGAACUGGCCCUCUGGGGUGUGACAUCAUUCAGUUGAAAAAUCAGAGUAUGGCAGGCCUCUCAUUGUGAGGGACAUAUAUGGAUUCUUGGGUUCUCUUUGUGCCCGCAACAUCUCCAGAGUGAAACAUGUUAGUGUGAAACUUCAGUAGUCUCAAGUCAUGACUGAUGAAGACCCUCUCUAUAUAUAGGUAUCUUAAACAAACUUUUAGUUGCUCAUUAAAAGAAGAUAUUGACUUUUCAUAGUAAGGAAGUUUCUUGUGAUGAUGCAUUCUAAAGAUAUAUCAUCUAAUAGCAUGUGCAUGGUCCUUAGAUUCUGCAUUUGGAGUAUGCAGGUAGUAGACCCCAAGCACACUGCCUGUGGACAUGAUGUUUUCUCCAGUGAAACUCUUAUUUAGGCUUUUAUUGAAAGUGAUUUUCACAUAGUAACAAGCUAGUGUAAAAUGUAAGAUGUGUUUGUAAGCUAUGUGAAUAAACUGAAUGGUGAUUUGAUGAAAUACCUGCUGUGUCCAUAACAUGGAAUAGAUAAAAUCAAGUACAAAGAACCAAUUUCAAUAUAGAAAUUUCAUGGACAGGAGAUAUAUUCAUCUUCUUUCCUUGGCAAAUUGAAUAAUCUUUUCAUAUACCUGUCACCUCUCUUUGUCUGUAUACUCAUCCAUCUGUGGAAAGCGAUGCUCAAAAGUCACAUGUUGGUGCUGAAAAGAUGACUCAAUGGUUCAGAGUGUUUGUUGUUCUUGCAGAGGAUCUGGGGUUUGAUCCCAGCACCCAUGUCAGAUAAAUCACAACCACUCUAGCGUCUGGAGGUCUGACACCCUCUUCUGGCCACUGUGAGCAUCUACUUGUCUGACAUGUUCACCUCUGUUGAUUACUGUCAGUGAUCUUUAACAGAUCAACUGUACCAGAAUUUCCAGUCAUGCUUUUUAUUUCUAAAAAGUAUGCCAUGGGAUGAAGCCAUACCCAUAGCUUGUGUAAGGAUACUGAUUGAAGAUGUAGCUGAGAUGUACAUCACUUGCCUAACAUUCCUAUGGACUUGCAAGUUUUAUUGCAUUACAUGCAUUCUUGUGAUCAUGCAAACACACACACACACACACACACACACACACAAGCACAGUGCUUCCAUAUGCCUGUGUGAGGAUGGCAAUGUCUCCUGAAGAAUGUAGGGCUAAAUAAUACCCGGAUUACUGCUUAGUGUCUGUAAGCAAAAGAAAUCAGUGCAAAAAUGUGGGGGCAGUGUAAGUCAGUGUAAGUACUGACUGUAGUAAUGUGCCAUCAGUAUGAUAGAUCUCAACUUUUAUAGACCAAGAUAAUGUUUUUCAGUUUAUAGUGAAUGCUUCCACACUGCUUGACAUAGUACUAUGUCCUAUUUUUCUCCAGCUGGGGUGUAGAAGGAUACCCCACAAUUCACCAGGAACAAAGGAGUUUGCAUGGAGUUCUUGUAUAAAUGUGC
rnacentral:lncRNA from 1 species